GGGCCAAAUUUGAAGUAAGAUAGAUCAGUAGGAUCAGUUGAUCAUACUGAUCUACUCUACUUCAAGUCCGUGCCC
rfam:Haemonchus contortus, ISE/inbred ISE, WGS project CAVP01000000 data, contig: Hcontortus_31843